rnacentral:sRNA from 1 species
UCGAUUCAUCUUAGGACACUACACAGAGC